UACGAGGGGGGCAAGCGUUGUUCGGAAUUAUUGGGCGUAAAGGGUGCGUAGGCGGUUUUGUAAGUCUUGUGUGAAAUCUUCAGGCUCAACUUGAAGACUGCACGAGAAACUGCAGGGCUUGAGUGUGGGAGAGGUGAGUGGAAUUGCCGGUGUAGCAGUGAAAUGCGUAGAGAUCGGCAGGAACACCAGUGGCGAAGGCGACUGCCUGGGGAGUAACUGACGCUGAGGCGCGAAAGCUGGGGGAGCAAACGGG
rnacentral:rRNA from 1 species